rnacentral:rRNA from 1 species
GGGGAAUAUUGGACAAUGGGCGAAAGCCUGAUCCAGCCAUGCCGCGUGAGUGAUGAAGGCCUUAGGGUUGUAAAGCUCUUUCAGUAGGGAAGAUAAUGACGGUACCUACAGAAGAAGCCCCGGCUAACUUCGUGCCAGCAGCCGCGGUAAUACGAAGGGGGCUAGCGUUGUUCGGAUUUACUGGGCGUAAAGCGCACGUAGGCGGAUCGUUAAGUCGGGGGUGAAAUCCUGGAGCUCAACUCCAGAACUGCCUUCGAUACUGGCGAGCUUGAGACCGGAAGAGGUGAGUGGAACUCCUAGUGUAGAGGUGGAAUUCGUAGAUAUUAGGAAGAACACCAGUGGCGAAGGCGGCUCACUGGUCCGGUACUGACGCUGAGGUGCGAAAGCGUGGGGAGCAAAC